GAUGAACGCUGGCGGCGUGCCUAAUACAUGCAAGUCGAGCGAACAGACGAGGAGCUUGCUCCUCUGACGUUAGCGGCGGACGGGUGAGUAACACGUGGAUAACCUACCUAUAAGACUGGGAUAACUUCGGGAAACCGGAGCUAAUACCGGAUAAUAUAUUGAACCGCAUGGUUCAAUAGUGAAAGACGGUUUUGCUGUCACUUAUAGAUGGAUCCGCGCCGCAUUAGCUAGUUGGUAAGGUAACGGCUUACCAAGGCAACGAUGCGUAGCCGACCUGGGAGGGUGAUCGGCCACACUGGAACUGAGACACGGUCCAGACUCCUACGGGAGGCAGUAGUAGGGAAUCUUCCGCAAUGGGCGAAAGCCUGACGGAGCAACGCCGCGUGAGUGAUGAAGGUCUUCGGAUCGUAAAACUCUGUUAUUAGGGAAGAACAAAUGUGUAAGUAACUAUGCACGUCUUGACGGUACCUAAUCAGAAAGCCACGGCUAACUACGUG
rnacentral:rRNA from 1 species